UACGAAGGGGGGCUAGCGUUGCUCGGAAUCACUGGGCGUAAAGGGCGCGUAGGCGGCGUUUUAAGUCGGGGGUGAAAGCCUGUGGCUCAACCACAGAAUGGCCCUUCGAUACUGGGACGCUUGAGUAUGGUAGAGGUUGGUGGAACUGCGAGUGUAGAGGUGAAAUUCGUAGAUAUUCGCAAGAACACCGGUGGCGAAGGCGGCCAACUGGACCAUUACUGACGCUGAGGCGCGAAAGCGUGGGGAGCAAACAGG
rnacentral:rRNA from 1 species